rnacentral:rRNA from 1 species
UCUACGGUUGGCAGCAGUAGGGAAUCUUCCACAAUGGGCGCAAGCCUGAUGGAGCAACACCGCGUGAGUGAAGAAGGGUUUCGGCUCGUAAAGCUCUGUUGUUGGAGAAGAACGUGCGUGAGAGUAACUGUUCACGCAGUGACGGUAUCCAACCAGAAAGUCACGGCGAACUACGUGCAAGCAGCCGCGGUAAUACGUAGGUGCCAAGCGUUAUCCGGAUUUAUUGGGCGUAAAGCGAGCGCAGGCGGUCGCUUAGGUCUGAUGUGAAAGCCUUCGGCUUAACCGGAGAAGUGAAGCGGAAACCGGGCGAGUUGAGUGCAGAAGAGGACAGUGGAACUCGAGGUGUAGCGGUGGAAUGCGUAGAUAUAUGGAAGAACACCAGUGGCGAAGGCGGCUGUCUGGUCUGCAACUGACGCUGAGGCUCGAAAGCAUGGGUAGCGAACAGGAUUAGAUACCCUUGUAGUC